GUAUAAAUAGUAUACAGUGAAACUGCGAAUGGCUCAUUAAAACAGUUAUAGUUUAUUUGAUAUUUGAAUUCUACAUGGAUAACCGUGGUAAUUCUAGAGCUAAUACAUGCAUUAAAGCCUGACUUUUUGAAGGGCUGUAUUUAUUAGAUAUAAACCAAUAGUGGCAACACUGUUGUGAUGAUUCAUAAUAACUGAUCGAAGCGAUGCCCGCAUCGCUAAAUCAUUCAAGUUUCUGCCCUAUCAGCUUUCGAUGGUAGUGUAUUGGACUACCAUGGCAGUCACGGGUAACGGGGAAUUAGGGUUCGAUUCCGGAGAGGGAGCCUGAGAAACGGCUACCACUUCUAAGGAAGGCAGCAGGCGCGUAAAUUACCCAAUCCUGAUUCAGGGAGGUAGUGACAAGAAAUAACGGACCGAGGCCUUCGGGCUUCGGGAUUGGAAUGAGCCGAAUUUACACCCCUUAGCGAAGAUCGAUUGGAGGGCAAGUCUGGUGCCAGCAGCCGCGGUAAUUCCAGCUCCAAUAGCGUAUAUUAAAGUUGUUGCAGUUAAAAAGCUCGUAGUUGGAUUUCUGGGAGGGUGCCGAUGUCCACUUAACGUGUGCGCAGCGGCGCCCUCUCAUCCUUCUGUUAGCGUCUCUUGGCAUUCAUUUGCUGGUGGCGGGCUCAGAUAUUUUACCUUGAGAAAAUUAGAGUGUUUCAGGCAGGCUAGGCCGGAAUACAUUAGCAUGGAAUAAUGGAAUAGGACUACGGUCUCUUUGUUGGUUUGAGGGACUGCAGUAAUGAUUAAUAGGGAUAGUUGGGGGCAUUAGUACUUAACUGUC
rnacentral:rRNA from 1 species